CCGCGUGCUUGCCCUGGGCGGCUCCGCAGGCCGCCGGGAGCUCGGGCUGAGGCGCCUGGCUGAGGCGGGGCUCUUUCCUCGCCUGGGGUCAUUUCAUAAUUUUGAAUCAUGUCUGAUAACGGAGAACUGGAAGACAAGCCUCCAGCACUGCCUGUGCGAAUGAGCAGUACCAUUUUCAGCACUGGAGGCAAGGAGACUUUGUCAGCCCAAGUUUGAAACCUUUGCCCUCUGUUCCAGAGGGAAAAAAGCCCAGGAAUAAAAUCAUCUCCAUAUUCUCAGGCACUGAGAAAGGAAGUAAAAAGAAACAGAAGGAACAGCCAGAAAUUUCUCCUCCAUCUGAUUUUGAGCACACUGUCCAUGUUGGUUUUGAUGCCAUUACUGAGAAUUCACUGGCAUGCCAGAACAAUGGGCUCGAUUAUUACAGACCUCCAAUAUCACCAAGCUAGAGCAAAAGAAGAAUCCUCAGGCUGUACUUGAUGUCUUAAAGUUCUAUGACUCCAACACAGUGAAGCAGAAAUAUCUGAACUUUACUCCUCCUGAGAAAGAUGGCUUCCCUUCUGGAACACCAGCACUGAAUGCCAAGGGAUCAGAAACAUCAGCAGUAGUAACAGAAGAAGAUGAAGAUGAUGAAGAGACUGCUCCUCCUGUUAUUGCCCCACGUCCAUGUUAUACAAGAUCAAUUUACACACGGUCUGUGAUUAACCCUAUUCCUGCACCAGUUGGUGAUUCUAAUGUUGAAAGUGGUGCCAAGUCUUCAGACAAACAGAAAAAGAAGACCAAGAUGACAGAUGAAGAAAUUAUGGAGAAAUUAAGAACUAUUGUGAGCAUAGGUGACCCUAAGAAAAAAUAUACAAGAUAUGAAAAAAUUGGACAGGGGGCUUCUGGUACAGUUUUCACUGCAACUGAUGUGGCAUUGGGACAGGACGUUGCUAUCAAACAGAUUAAUUUACAGAAACAGCCAAAGAAGGAAUUAAUCAUUAAUGAGAUUCUAGUGAUGAAAGAAUUAAAGAAUCCUAAAAUAGUUAACUUCUUAGACAGUUACCUGGUGGGAGAUGAAUUGUUUGUGGUAAUGGAGUACCUUGCUGGGGGUCACUUACUGACCUUGUAACAGAAACCUGUAUGGAUGAAGCACAGAUUGCUGCUGUACGCAGAGAGUGUUUACAGGCAUUGGAGUUUUUACAUGCUAAUCAAGUAAUCCACAGAGACAUCAAAAGGGACAAUGUGCUUUUGGGGAUGGAAGGAUCAGUUAAACUUACUGACUUUGGUUUCUGUGCCCAGAUCACCCCUGAGCAGAGUAAACGCCGUACCAUGGUAGAAACGCCAUACUGGAUGGCACCAGAGGUGGUUACACAGAAAGCUUAUGGCCCUAAAGUUGACAUAUGGUCUCUGGGUAUCAUGGCUAUUGAGAUGGUAGAAGACGAGCCUCCAUACCUCAGUGAAAAUCCCUUGAGGGCCUUAUACCUGAUAGCAACUAAUGGAACGCCAGAACUUCAGAAUCCAGAAAAACUUUCUCCAAUGUUUCGAGAUUUCUUAACUCGAUGUUUGGAAAUGGAUGUGGAAAAAAGGGGUUCAGCCAAAGAAUUGUUACAGCAUCCCUUCCUGAAACUGGCCAAACCAUUAUCUAGCUUAACACCACUGAUCAUGGCAGCUAAAGAAGCAAUGAAGAGUAACUGUUAACAUCAUUGGCUGUGGCCUCCUGUUCUUUUUCCAUUUUCUAAAAGAAGUCUUUUAACAUAUGAAAAUUAUUACUCUUUUGGGGGUUUAAAGAAAUGGUCUGCAUAACAUGGAGGGAAAAGCAAGCUACUAUUCUCUGAGGACAACAAAGAGAAAAUUGCAAAAAGAAAAUUCUGACUUUAGAACAGAAAAACCCCUUUAAGGUCCAAAAGGAAUUGUGGACUGAAUCACUAGCCUUAUGUAUUUCAGCAGA